AAACCACACGAAAACUAUAGAUGGCGAUA
rnacentral:guide_RNA from 1 species